UUGUAAAUAUAUUUUGAGUCUGAGUCUUAUUUCUUUUUUUUUUUUUAAGAUGUAUUUAUUGAUUAUAUGUAAGUACACUGUAGCUGUCUUCAGACACUCCAGAAGAGGGAGUCAGAUCUUGUUACGGAUGGUUGUGAGCCACCAUGUGGUUGCUGGGAUUUGAACUCCUGACCUUCGGAGGAGCAGUCGGGUGCUCUUACCCACUGAGCCAUCUCACCAGCCCCCCUGAGUCUUAUUUCUGAGAGCAUAGGGCUGGGAGGAAGAACGAGGACCAAAUGUCUAUAAAUGGUUCCCCACAUUGGGUGCCAAAUUGUUGUGGCAAAAAUUAAUUUGGGGUUUCUACUCCACCUUUGAUCAUUCAGUUCUCAAAAGACAUAAAACCUUUAUAUUUAUAAUUAGCCUUAAAAGCAACAGAGCUGGUAGAUGUCAACCUUCUUUGCCAUUGUGUCUGCUUCCCUGUCAAUAACCCGAGAUAUCACUUGCCAUGUUCUGCCAGGGCCGCUCCUACUCCAACUGGCUGGCCCUCAUGGCUGUGCACUCACAAUUCACCUACCCCAUGGUGUGUUUUCUCUUCACCUCUCUCUUCUCUCUUCCUCGUGGUCUCUGCCUCAGGCCUCAAGCCUUGGAACGGAAACUGCCUACCUCUCCUCUGCCCAGCUACAGGCUGUCGGCAUCUUUAUUUAACCAAUAGUUUAAAAUGAAGGAGCAAGCAUUACUUGGUGUACAUUGAGGAUCUCCUCCUCCCUGAGGCAGCCAGGCUAGUCUUGAGCAUUAUAAUACAUAGCAAUAGACCAAACCUCCCAACCCUCUCUAGAAGCCUGAGGCACACAGGGAGGAUUAGGAAGCUCUGCUCACACUGACUGUCACCCAUUCCAUUGGACAGUGCCAGGUCUGGGAGGCUGGGCCCUGCUGACUGGGGCCCCUGCACUUCCUGCUCCACUUGUACUGGCUCAUGAGAACAGGUCCCAGGGGCUGUUUUGUCUCUUGAGGCCACAGUCCAGGAUGGACCAUCUCGGUGCAGGACCCCCACCUGAGACCUUGAGACUGUUGUCUAGUGUUAGGGCUGUGCUAUGAAUUUCAGGCUCUAUUACAGCCAUUUUAAGUGUGCAGUCUCAUGAAUUCUGUCACUGUCCUUUGAUCUCCCUUUUUCUAGUUCCCGGUGCCUGCUUCAACUGUACUAAUUCUAGUUUAAUCUAGUCUAGAUUAGAUUAAUUCUAGUCACAUCUUCCCAGUGAAUCUUCAGUGCCUGGCUCUGUCGCAGAAUUCUUUCUGUCUCCUGGAUGUUCCACCUUCUAUUCUAGCCUUUCCUAUAGGCCAUUGGUUUCUUAAUUGACAGGUGAGGCGAGGCACCCAUCUGAUUUCUAAUUUCCUCAGUAAGACUACCACUAUUCUGAUUUCUGGAACUGUAUUUGGUCACCUGUCCUAGAGGUUUGUAUACAUGGAAUUAUAUAGGCUGUAUACUUUCUUUGGUCUAUGACACAACUUGUAUUAGUGAGAUUCAACCAGACUUGUAUUUACUUGCUGAGCAGUGUUGGAAACGCAGUUUAUCCAUUCUCCUGUUGAUGGCCACUCUGGUUGUCUCUGGUAUAAGGCUAUCGUGAAAACAGCUGCUGUCAGUGUUCUCCACAUGGCUCAGUGUGGGCAUUUGUGUCCUUUUUCUCUUGCAUAAGUACCUGGGAUGGGUCACUCAGCAUCACCCACCAGGCUGUAGAUGGAUCUGUGCUCUCACUGUUCUUGUUCUUAGUGAAAUGACAAAAAGCCACGUGCUACCUUCUGUGGGAGGUGCUACAGGGGAAAUCCUCCACUUCGAGAGUAGAAGUGACACUGUUUAAAGUGGUCUUGCACCUUCUUACAUCUGUAGUUUUAAUUGUUGACCCAGCAUGUCACUCCCACGCUCACCUAUCAUGAAAAGACGAAAGUCAUAUGUUGAACUUGAAACCUCGGGGCCAGGUAUGAGGACCACAGGGUUGCUACCUAUGGUCCAGCCCGCAAAGGCGUCAUAGAAGGUGACCACAGACCAGGAAAGCCGUCAUUGGAGGUGACCACAGACCAUGAGCGCUGCCUGACUGCGUGCAGGUUCUUGUAGGGUAUUAGCUAAUGUGCAGCCACAGAGGACAGGUGGUUCCUGUCAGAACCCAGGCUUCCUGUGCCCACUGCCUUCUGUAUCUUUAAGUUUCACUAGAGGGUUGGUCUUCCUCGUUAGCACCUGGCAGCUUGUGAUGGUUUUCAUUGUUGCCUUGCUUUUUCUUCUUCUUUUAUGGGUGUUGAAAGCAAUUAAGAAGAAAAUGUAAGAAAGAACUGUUGUAAGGUCAACACAAUUAACCCUGUGCGAAUGAAUGGACCUAUGAAUCCUUUUCGUCUUUCUCAUCCUCCUCUGCCAUGAGAAGGAAAAGUGACAAACACUCUUAAUGAUGUCUAUCUAUAGACACCCACGUCUUAGCAGAACACCUGUUGGAUGGGUCGCUGAUAAUAUUAUUCUUCUCCCAUUUACCUAAUUCUGACCUUUGGUCAGUAUCCCUGCAUUGCCCGUAAACUGUAGAAAUAUAUCCUAGAAUUCAGUUUUCCAGGACACUGUGAAAUGCUGAGCAAAUAGGGAACUCAG
rnacentral:lncRNA from 1 species